UUGGGGGCGCUGGUAGUGUGGUGGUUGUACGGCUUACAGCCAGGCUUCAUACGCUAUCGUCCUGCCCGUUAGAGCAGCCAGCGGGUAUAGAAUGGAUUUUGGAGGAGGGAGUCACCACUGGGCCUCCAAGGAAGCCACGUGCAGACAUCUACAACCUUCGAUCUCCUGACGAGUUUAUUGUUGGCCAAAACCAGGCUUUGACUGAACCAGGAUGAAUGCGGGUGUUGGGAAUAGAAUAUAUAUAUACAUAUAAAACCGAAACUGGCGAAGGAAUAUGAGAGGAGUCCUCUGGAAAGAAAAGAACAGACCCUGUGCUUUCAUGAAAGUGAAGAUCUGGCUGAACCAGUUCCACAAGGUUAUUGUAUACAUAGCCUGGGUUUAAAAGGCUGUGCCCACUUUGAAGAAUGUCAUUGUUAGACUUUGCUGAAAUUUCUAACUGCCUACCUGGAUAAAGAAAAUCAAAUCUUUUAAAUCAAAAAAAAAAAAAAAAA